rnacentral:lncRNA from 1 species
CUCGAUAUGUGAAUUAACUUUAUCAUGGGUGUUCUUGUUAAAGUCAAAGGUGAAUGGGGGAUUUUUUGGCAGGUUGGGGGUGCAAUUAGAAUCACUUUAAAGUCCUACUAAAUCCUAAUUUAAUAUCUUUGGAGCAAAAUAUUCUUAAAGAAUUUAUCAAAAUUUUAAUGUGGCAUAACAUUGAAUAUCUUUUUAUAUUCAAGUAUAAUCAAAGUGACCUUGUUCUAACUAUACAGGCAUAAUCUAGUCCCAUGAAGUCAUAGUACUAAGACUUUUCAGUGCCUGUGAUAUGAAAGAAUGGGUUAUGCUGUAGUACUCACAAAAAUAUAUAAUGCCAGAUAAAAUGUAACAAAAAUGUUUGUUAAAAAGUAUGCCUGGGCUUACAAAAGAAAAGGAAAUUCCCAUAUUUCAGAAGACAAUAAAUUUCUGAAAACUGUAGCUUUGACUCAUGAGCUAGCAUUUCUGCAGCUAUGCUGGGGAUUAUUGGAUCCACUUAGUCCUUGGGCUUCACGUCCACAAGGAACUGGGACAGAGGCUUGGAGACUCAGUGGAGAAUUGAAUACACUGCCCAAACAUCAUUCCAGAAUGAGGGAAAAUAAAAUCCUACAGUUCAUAAUAACCAUAGUUAGCAUCGACAAAAGUAUUGAAGGAUAUUCUUCAUAAAAAAUGUAGGAGUGGAAGGCAAUUAGUAAUGAUGACGGGGAAAAGGGCACUUAAUGGUGACAAAAGUCAAUAAUGAGUUCCCAUUGUGGCUCAGUGGAAACGAACCUGACUAGUAUCCAGGAGGAUGUGGGUUCAAUCCCUGGCCUCCCUCAGUGGCUAAGAAUCCAGCUUUGCUGUGAGCUGUGGUGUAGGUCACAGACACAGCUUGGAUGCAAGUUCAAUCCCUGGCCUUGCUUAGUGGGUUAAGGAUCUGGCAUUGCCAUGAGCUGUGAUAUAGGUUGCAGAUGUAGCUCUGAUCUUGCAUUGCUGUGGAAUAGGCUGGCAGCUACAGCUCUGAUUAGACCCCUGGCCUGGGAACUUCCAUAUGCCACAGGUGUGUCCCUAAAAAGACAAAAAGACCAAAAACAAACAAACAAACACUUGAUGAUGAGGUGAGCAAAAGCCUCUGAUCCCCAAAUUACCCUGAAUGCCCCUUACUGGCAAAAAUAGAUAAAAUUUGCCCUCACAGAGCUUACAUGGCAUAGAAAAUAGAAAGAAAAUGAAUUAUAUGCAUAAAAAAUAAGUACAUAAUAUUGUUAUAAGGCUAUAAGAGUUAUAACAUUAGGCCAGGGUCAGGUACACUGAGAGUGGUAAGAGUAAGGCUUGAAAUUCCAAGUGAGGUUUUCAAGACAUUACUCUAGGUGAAGUUAGCAUUGAGGAAAAUCUUAAAGUCACUGAAGGAGUUAAACAUUGCAUGUCUGGGGGAAAAAAAAUUGUUCCAUGAAGGAGAAAAAUAAGUAAAAAUGCACUAAGGUUAGAGUGUAUCUAGCUUGGUCAAGGAAGAGCAGAGAGGCCAAAGAGCCUGGGCAAAGUUAGCAAAAGAGAGAAAAAAGACAUAUAAGAUCAGAGAGUUAAUGGAAUCAGGCAAGUGGGGCCAGACCUUGGUCAUGAUUUUGGUUUUGAUUUAGCAUAGAAAAGAGAACUCUCUGGAGGGUUCUAAGAAGGAAAAGUGACUUAUCUUGUACUUUAAAGGGAUCAGUCCAGCUUCUGUGUAAUAAUAGAUAAGGCAUGUUUGAGGAAGAGGGUGGUCUGGGAGAGUUCAAGUUAGGAUUUUAUCACAGGAAACCUGGUGAGACAUGAUGAUAGCUUAGGUCUGCUGAUAAAAGAUGGUAAGGAUGAUAAAAAGACAGACAAAUAAUUUGUCCUUCUUGUA